UGGGCAACAAGGGUGAAACUUGAUCUCAAAAAUAAAAUAAAAUAAAAAAGAAUCUAGUAGGCAAUAAUAUGCUUAAUGGUUCUGAUGAAUCAUGUUAUAGAAUAUUUUCAAGUUUUCCUUAAGACUUCCAAUAGGACAUAGUAAUAGGAAAUAAUUGAAAUAAAAACACUUUCCCAAAAUUUAGGAUGUUGAUAGAUAAGCAUAAGUUUUUGAAUCAGUUUCUAGUUAAAUCUAUACUGUAAUUUGAUUGUGCAAUUACAAAUUUCAUCUUAUUUUCUCCAUCUCCAUACUGCUAUUCGGAAAGAGAGUGACUACUUAACAGCUGGAACUGUGAAUAGGGAAUAAAUUGAAGAGCAUCUAAAUGUGUGUGCUGCUCCAAUAAAUAUUUUAGACAUCAGGGACAGCUGGUAUUGUCAGCCUCUAAGUCUCAGAUGUCAAAGGCAUUCCUUCAAACCUGUUCACUUCCAGAGCAAGGCUUUUCCAGAUGGGAAUUAGAAAGCAAGAUUUGACAAAAUCUGCUUCUCUGUUACUGAAUAUAAAGGAAUAUUACGGUUAUAAACAUCUUGAGAGCAAGGACUAAAUCUUACUCAUCUUUAUUAAGAACUGACAAUGGACCACACCAGAAAAUCCAUGGAUAUGCUGUGAGACUGUGACCAAUUAUACAUUCAAUAUUUUUCUUACUUGUGAGACUGAUUUUGAGAAAAUUUGCUAUCACAGCAUCACUAAACAUUAGAGCAGGAAAGGACUCCUGCAAUGAUUUUAUUUACCAACCAUAUUUUACCAGUAGGAAAACUAAGGCAUAGAGAAGUUGAGACUUUCUACACACCAGGGCCUAGUCUUCACGAUGUUUAUGCCUAACCCUGAGCCCUUUCCUCUAUAUAAUGCUGCCUCAUUACAUUUCUGAAAGAUGGAGAAGUUUCAUAAAAACAGGAUGAAAGACAUUGGAAGUUUCCAGAUGCUAUCAGGCUAUCUUCUCACAGACCUUUCGAUGAUUUGUCCAACAGAAAGAGACUAAAAGGGCUUAUAGGAAUAUCAGCAUCCCAAUGUACUUAUGGUUUGACUUUACAUCUCUAAUUACAGAAUUUGAUUAUUUUAAAAAAAUCUUUAUAUCAAAUCUUGGUUUAUACUUUAAAUUUUUUUAUAUUUAUUAUAUAUCAGGUGAUACUUCCUUUAUACUCCAAACAGAAACCCCAAAAUAAAAACUGCCAGAGCAUAUAAGCAUUUUUUUCUCAUUUUAUGGAUAAAGAAUCUCAAAGAAAGCAACUUUGUCAGUAUUAGGAUUGCGACCUUAACCUGGAGAGUAGCCAGGAGGAAUCUGUUCUCAUAUUGUAGAUACCAGGACAUUCUGCUUCCUCAAGAGAUUUGAGGAAGCAGACUCUUGACAUUUUGAUGUGACUCUACAAUGUCUAAGGAAUGAUUUUGUUAGCAAUGGAGACACCAAGUGACAGGUGCUAGUAAGUCUGAACCAGCCACCACUGCCAAUGAGCUGUGUCCCUGUUCAGCUUGGUUUCCCCAUUCACUUUCAGGUGAUUAAAAUGUCAUGCUUUAACACGCCCAGUUAUAAUACUAGUGGCAAUCUGUUGUAUUGUCUCAAGGAGACAUUGCUGCUCAUAGGAGCAAGUAUUCACAGGCACUGAAAAUGUAAACUAUCUUGGGAAUUUGUAAAAAUGACAAGGAAUAACAUCGAGAACUGCUUCAUUCAUGGGAUGUAGGCAAUGAUUUUCGUAAGGUAUUUCCAAAAUGCAUGCCAUUUAUAUGUAGGAAGAAUGGCCACAGAGGGAAUAUUACAGUGAAAUUUGGUUUUAUACCUGCCAUAUACUUUACCAUGUUUCAUCUCAAAGUACAUUUUGCUGCCUAUUUCAAGUUAAAGUCCUGACUUCUGACAUUGAGCUUUGAUGUGCCCCCACAAUAUGGCUCCCCUGUCAUGCACUUCUAUUGCUUCUUCCCUUCUUAUCUUACUGCUUUAGUCAACACAGGCUGUUCCUGAUGCUUACAGCAUACUGAUUCAGCAAAAUCCAAAGAAACAAACAUUUGAUAAAUGUCCACCAUGUGUUCGGAAGUUUGCUAAGAACUAUAGAGGGCAGGAAGAGAUGGCAUUUUUGUCCUUAAGUAAUUGGAAAUCUAAUGGGAAAAACAAGCAAGUACAUAAAUUAAUCUGAUAUGAAGCAGAGUGAGCAGUAGGGAGGGCAAAAAUGUUGAAAAGUAAAUUGGGUUACAUGAGGAUAUCAAAAGAGUUAUUUAAGUGUGUAUGUAUUUUUUAUGCAUUGGGAGCCUCUAAAAGGUUUUGAAUAGGGAAAUAAUGAGCAGAACAUGAGGUGGGCAUUAUGAAGGAUAAGCUAGAGAGACAGAUAUUAAAAUUAGAGAAGCCAUACUUUAAGAA